UGGUUGAACCGUUUGGGACAAUUGCUUGAAACAUUCCAAGUUCUUUUUGCUUUGUUAACUUUUUUUCUGAGUUACUGAAAGUUCUAAUUCACUCAUGAAUGGGUGAGAUUCAGGGGAGGAGGAAUCCAACACAGGAGGGAGCGUAUUUGUGUUUCAGAAUUUGCCAAGGGAACCACUGGACGAGCCCGGCUAGGCUUUUGCCGAUAAGAUUCAUCCAUAUUGCUGAGUGAAGCCAUGGCAUGUUCCUCCUCUUUAUUCCUACAAUACAAUUCCAUUUGGGGGCUGUAUCCUGAUUUAUUCGUCCGCACUAGGCGUGCCCUCUGCCAGACUUUGGCUAAUUAAAAGAGGUGAAGGUACGCCAGGGGUGAGCCAAACCUUCAAGAAGCCUUGCAUGUUUCCGUCUGCUCUCCUGUACGUCUGUCAUCACCGUGAGAAGGUCGUGGGCAUGGUAGGCUGCUCGUGGAAAGAGCGUGCUGAGAGAUGUACUGAACAGAGUAAACUCAAAGAAGCAUGAGCCCGACCAAGCUCGGCGAACUCCAAGAGUGGAUAAACAAUAAAUGUUUAUUGUUGCAUGAUGCUGA